AACGAACGCUGGCGGCAUGCCUAACACAUGCAAGUCGAACGAGACCUUCGGGUCUAGUGGCGCACGGGUGCGUAACGCGUGGGAAUCUGCCCUUUGCUUCGGAAUAACAGUUAGAAAUGACUGCUAAUACCGGAUGAUGUCUUCGGACCAAAGAUUUAUCGGCAAAGGAUGAGCCCGCGUAGGAUUAGGUAGUUGGUGGGGUAAAGGCCUACCAAGCCGACGAUCCUUAGCUGGUCUGAGAGGAUGAUCAGCCACACUGGGACUGAGACACGGCCCAGACUCCUACGGGAGGCAGCAGUGGGGAAUAUUGGACAAUGGGCGAAAGCCUGAUCCAGCAAUGCCGCGUGAGUGAUGAAGGCCUCGGUCGUAAGCUCUUUUACCUAGGGAUGAUAAUGACAGUACCUGGAGAAUAAGCUCCGGCUAACUCCGUGCCAGCAGCCGCGGUAAU
rnacentral:rRNA from 1 species